AACGCUAGCUACAGGCUUAACACAUGCAAGUCGAGGGGCAGCAUCAUCAAAGCUUGCUUUGAUGGAUGGCGACCCCGACAACACUGGGAUAGCCUUUCGAAAGAAAGAUUAAUACCGGAUGGCAUAGUUUUCCCGCAUGGGAUAAUUAUUAAAGAAUUUCGGUUGUCGAUGGGGAUGCGUUCCAUUAGGCAGUUGGCGGGGUAACGGCCCACCAAACCUACGAUGGAUAGGGGUUCUGAGAGGAAGGUCCCCCACAUUGGAACUGAGACACGGUCCAAACUCCUACGGGAGGCAGCAGUGAGGAAUAUUGGUCAAUGGACGAGAGUCUGAACCAGCCAAGUAGCGUGAAGGAUGACUGCCCUAUGGGUUGUAAACUUCUUUUAUACGGGAAUAAAGUUAGCCACGUGUGGUUUUUUGUAUGUACCGUAUGAAUAAGGAUCGGCUAACUCCGUGCCAGCAGCCGCGGUAAUACGGAGGAUCCGAGCGUUAUCCGGAUUUAUUGGGUUUAAAGGGAGCGUAGGUGGACUGGUAAGUCAGUUGUGAAAGUUUGCGGCUCAACCGUAAAAUUGCAGUUGAUACUGUCAGUCUUGAGUACAGUAGAGGUGGGCGGAAUUCGUGGUGUAGCGGUGAAAUGCUUAGAUAUCACGAAGAACUCCGAUUG
rnacentral:rRNA from 1 species